rfam:Ictidomys tridecemlineatus contig046247, whole genome shotgun sequence.
GGGGAUAUAGCUCAGUUAGUAGAGUGCUUGCUUUGCAUGCAGAAGACCCUGGGUUCGAUCCCCAGCUACACACA